AUGAACGCUGGCGGCGUGCCUAAUACAUGCAAGUCGAGCGAACGGACGAGAAGCUUGCUUUUCUGAUGUUAGCGGCGGACGGGUGAGUAACACGUGGAUAACCUACCUAUAAGACUGGGAUAACUUCGGGAAACCGGAGCUAAUACCGGAUAAUAUUUUGAACCGCAUGGUUCAAAAGUGAAAGACGGUCUUGCUGUCACUUAUAGAUAGAUCCGCGCUGCAUUAGCUAGUUGGUAAGGUAACGGCUUACCAAGGCAACGAUGCAUAGCCGACCUGAGAGGGUGAUCGGCCACACUGGAACUGAGACACGGUCCAGACUCCUACGGGAGGCAGCAGUAGGGAAUCUUCCGCAAUGGGCGAAAGCCUGACGGAGCAACGCCGCGUGAGUGAUGAAGGUCUUCGGAUCGUAAAACUCUGUUAUUAGGGAAGAACAUAUGUGUAAGUAACUGUGCACAUCUUGACGGUACCUAAUCAGAAAGCCACGGCUAACUACGUG
rnacentral:rRNA from 1 species